rnacentral:rRNA from 1 species
CAGCCGCCGCGGGAAUACAGAGGGUGCAAGCGUUAAUCGGAAUUACUGGGCGUAAAGCGCGCGUAGGUGGUUUGUUAAGUUGAAUGUGAAAUCCCCGGGCUCAACCUGGGAACUGCAUCCAAAACUGGCAAGCUAGAGUAGGGCAGAGGGUGGUGGAAUUUCCUGUGUAGCGGUGAAAUGCGUAGAUAUAGGAAGGAACACCAGUGGCGAAGGCGACCACCUGGGCUCAUACUGACACUGAGGUGCGAAAGCGUGGGGAGCAAACAGGAUUAGAGACCCCCGUAGUCCCUGUCUCUUAUAC